rnacentral:lncRNA from 1 species
CCCCCUCACUUUGGGGUCGUCCCCCCCCCCCCCUCCUCCCUCCACCUCCUCAUGAAGCGCAGUUUGGGGGGUCCCCCCCCGACCCCCCCCCCUCCUCCCUCCUCCUCCCCCCCCCCUCCAGAGGGUGGGCGGGGAUGGGGGGGCGGGGGGGGGGCGGCGGCGUCGUCCUCAUCGCUGAGGUCGGUGACCUCCACUUCCUCCGAGUCCACUUCCGGUGGGGUGGGGGGAGGGGUGGACCCCCCCGGGCCAGCCGAGGGGUGCACGUGACCGGAAGCGACCCCGUGGCCGGAAGGAAGCCCCGGACCGGAAGUGACCCCUCGACCGGAAGCGACCCCGGGGCUGACGUUCCCGCGACCCGGAGCGACCCCGUCGCCUUCGCCCCCGCCGUGACCUGAGGUGACCCCUUGACCUGAGGUGACCCCGUGACCUGAGACGACCCCGUGAGCUUUGGUAACCUCUUGACCGGAAGUGACCCCGUGACCGGGCGUGACCCCAGCUGCCUCUCCUUGACCCGAAGUGACCCCGUGACCCGAAGUGACCCCGGGAGCCUCUCCUUGACCUGAGGUGACCCCAUGACCUGCAGUAACCCCGGGAGCCUCUCCUUGACCCGAAGUGACCCCAUGACCGGAAGUAACCCCACCAGCCUCAUUCUGACCUGAAGUGACCUCGCGACCCGCAGUAACCCCAUGACCGGAAGUAACCCCAGAAGCCUCACUUUCACCCGAAGUAACCCCGUGACCCGAGGUAACCGCGUGACCGGAAGUACCCCCGUGACCCGAAGUAACCCCACCUCCCUCUCCUUUCCCCCUCCCCCUCCUCCCGGGCGGGGGGGGCUGCAACUUAAAGGCGAAGGGGGGGGGAGGGGGGGUCGGGGGGGGGUCCCGAUGGGGGUCCCGAUGGGGGUGGGGGGGGGGGCGGGGGGGGGGAGGGGCCAAAAAGGGGCGGGGGCUGAGAUGGUACGCGCACACCCGGGCGGCCAAACAGCGCGCCAGGUCUUCCGCACUGAAGGAGAAGUGGGGGGACCCCCCCCCACCGCCGCCCCCCCCCCCCGAAGUGGGGAGACCCCCCCGAGCCGAAGUGGGGCGACCCCCCCCCAAAGUGCGGCGACCCCCCCCCCGAAAUGAGGCGACCCCCCCCCCGAAAAGAGGGCUGGGGGUGGGGGAGGGGCUGUAAGGCAGCUGUGGGGAUAGGGGGGCCAACAGAGCCCCCCCCGACCCGAAGGGGCUGCGGGGGUACAGCCGUAACAAAGUGGGGCCCCCCCCGGGAUCGGCGCUUAACCUGAGGGGGGGUCCCCGAAACGACGGCCCCCCCCCCCACCCCCAUAUCGGGGGGGUCGUCCGGCUCCAAAGCGGCGUCGCUGCAGUCGCUCAGAGACCCCCGGGGUCGGGGAGGGGGGGGGCGGCGGUGGGGGGGGGCGCCGUCUCCUCCUCCUCCUCCCCCCCCCCCCCACCUCCAACCCCCCCCCCAAGAAGGGAGGAAGAGGACGAAGACGGGGAGAGUCCAUCCGGGGGGGGGAAGCGGAAGUGGGGGGGUCCUCCUCCUCCUCCUCCUCCUCCUCCUGAAGACCCCCCCGUGGGGAUGGGGGGAGCGCUGUGGGGGACGGGGGGGCCUG